rnacentral:rRNA from 1 species
AGAUUAAGUUAUUAAGGGCGCACGGUGGAUGCCUUGGCACUAGAAGCCGAUGAAGGACGUUACUAACGACGAUAUGCUUUGGGGAGCUGUAAGUAAGCAUUGAUCCAGAGAUUUCCGAAUGGGGAAACCCAGCACGAGUUAUGUCGUGUUAUCUGCAUGUGAAUACAUAGCAUGCAAGAAGGCAGACCCGGAGAACUGAAACAUCUUAGUACCCGGAGGAAGAGAA